CUACGGGUGGCACCAGUGAGGAAUAUUGCACAAUGGGGGGAACCCUGAUGCAGCAACGCCGCGUGGAGGAUGACGCAUUUCGGUGUGUAAACUCCUUUUAUAUGUCAAGAAAAUGACGGUAGCAUAUGAAUAAGCACCGGCUAACUCCGUGCCAGCAGCCGCGGUAAUACGGAGGGUGCAAGCGUUACUCGGAAUCACUGGGCGUAAAGGACGCGUAGGCGGGUUGGAAAGUCAGGUGUGAAACCCUACAGCUUAACUGUAGAACUGCACUUGAAACUUCUAAUCUAGAGUAUGGGAGGGGGAGAUGGAAUUAGUGGUGUAGGGGUAAAAUCCGUAGAUAUCACUAGGAAUACCUAAAGCGAAGGCGAUCUCCUGGAACAUUACUGACGCUAAGGCGUGAAAGCGUGGAGAGCAAACAGGAUUAGAUACCCCCGUAGUC
rnacentral:rRNA from 1 species